AAAAAACCCAAACAGAAAUUAACACAUAAUUAUCAUAAGAGAGAGAAACAAAAAAGAAAUAAUUUCUGGAAGAAUAAAAGAUAGAUUGGUAUUUUUCGUUUGUUUCUUUGAUGUGUUGUGGCCUCGAGAUUCUUUGUCUCCGUUCGGUUUCUAAUUUUCUCUUUCCUCGACUGGCUCGACUUUAGAUUAUCUUUUCUUUGUCAGAGACCGACAGAAAGAGAGUGAAACCAUAUAAAACGCGAAAACCUAAUCAACACUUUCUCUCUCUCCUUUUCCAGAUUUUAUUUUUCCCGGAAAAUUUAUAGAUUUUUUUUGUUGUUUUUUUGGAUUUUGAAAAUAGAGCAUCUUAGCUAGGGUUUCAAUUUUUUGUACGCUGCUGUUGGUGAAUUUGGGGUGAAUCGUUGAAAAUGGUGUUUAGAGAUGCGAAUUCGUUGGAAAUCUAGCUCCGAUCUUGAAUAUAGGGCAGGGAUUGCAGUUUGGAAGCAAUGGAUGUGGACUCGUCGAUGGUGCCGGAGACCGAUCAAGAUUCAGAGGUGCAAAACGCUUCGUCGCCAACGGCAAUGGAUAGGGAGCAGUUAAGGGAUCAGCCACAGCCGGCUGGAUCUUCGACUUCCGUGGUGCCUUCACCGGUGCAGCCGCCUGCACAGCUGCAGGCACAACAGCAAAGCCCCGUGGUGGGGCCGAGGCAUGCCCCUACUUACUCGGUGGUGAAUGCGAUUAUAGAGAAGAAGGAAGAUGGGCCAGGGCCCAGGUGCGGGCAUACCCUGACUGCAGUGGCGGCUGUUGGCGAGGAAGGAACGCCUGGGUACAUUGGGCCGAGGUUGAUUUUGUUCGGUGGUGCCACGGCUCUUGAGGGCAAUUCUGCGGCCUCAGGGGCACCUUCCUCAGCUGGGAAUGCGGGCAUUAGACUAGCUGGUGCCACUGCCGAUGUUCACUGUUAUGAUGUGCUAACAAAUAAAUGGUCUAGGAUUACUCCUUUUGGAGAACCACCCACACCAAGGGCUGCUCAUGUGGCAACUGCUGUGGGAACUAUGGUAGUUAUUCAGGGUGGAAUUGGUCCAGCUGGUUUGUCUGCUGAGGAUCUUCAUGUUCUUGACCUCACACAGCAACGGCCACGAUGGCACAGAGUUGUUGUUCAAGGCCCUGGACCGGGGCCGCGAUAUGGGCAUGUGAUGGCUUUGGUUGGCCAAAGGUACCUCAUGGCAAUUGGAGGGAAUGAUGGGAAGCGUCCUUUAUCUGAUGUUUGGGCCCUUGACACAGCUGCCAAACCUUAUGAGUGGCGUAAAUUGGAACCUGAAGGGGAAGGUCCACCACCAUGCAUGUAUGCCACUGCAAGUGCUCGCUCAGAUGGUCUUCUUCUACUUUGUGGGGGGAGGGAUGCAAAUAGUGUGCCUUUAGCAAGUGCUUAUGGCCUUGCAAAACACAGGGACGGUCGCUGGGAAUGGGCAAUUGCUCCUGGUGUCUCUCCAUCUCCAAGAUAUCAACAUGCAGCAGUUUUUGUUAAUGCGAGACUCCAUGUGUCCGGAGGAGCACUUGGUGGUGGUCGCAUGGUGGAAGAUUCAUCGAGUGUUGCAGUGUUGGAUACUGCCGCAGGAGUUUGGUGUGAUACAAAAUCUGUUGUUACUAGUCCAAGGACUGGCAGAUACAGUGCUGAUGCUGCUGGUGGGGAUGCUGCAGUUGAGUUGACCAGGCGUUGCAGGCAUGCAGCUGCUGCUGUUGGUGACUUGAUAUUUAUUUAUGGUGGUUUGCGUGGUGGGGUGUUGCUUGAUGAUCUACUUGUUGCUGAAGAUCUAGCUGCUGCUGAAACAACAACUGCAGCUUCUCAUGCAGCAGCUGCAGCUGCUGCAUGAGAAGCUGCAGUUGUUGUUUCAGCAGCAGCUAGAUCUUCAGCAACAAGUAGAUCAUCAAGCAACACCCCACCACGCAAACCACCAUAAAUAAAUAUCAAGUCACCAACAGCAGCAGCUGCAUGCCUGCAACGCCUGGUCAACUCAACUGCAGCAUCCCCACCAGCAGCAUCAGCACUGUAUCUGCCAGUCCUUGGACUAGUAACAACAGAUUUUGUAUCACACCAAACUCCUGCGGCAGUAUCCAACACUGCAACACUCGAUGAAUCUUCCACCAUGCGACCACCACCAAGUGCUCCUCCGGACACAUGGAGUCUCGCAUUAACAAAAACUGCUGCAUGUUGAUAUCUUGGAGAUGGAGAGACACCAGGAGCAAUUGCCCAUUCCCAGCGACCGUCCCUGUGUUUUGCAAGGCCAUAAGCACUUGCUAAAGGCACACUAUUUGCAUCCCUCCCCCCACAAAGUAGAAGAAGACCAUCUGAGCGAGCACUUGCAGUGGCAUACAUGCAUGGUGGUGGACCUUCCCCUUCAGGUUCCAAUUUACGCCACUCAUAAGGUUUGGCAGCUGUGUCAAGGGCCCAAACAUCAGAUAAAGGACGCUUCCCAUCAUUCCCUCCAAUUGCCAUGAGGUACCUUUGGCCAACCAAAGCCAUCACAUGCCCAUAUCGCGGCCCCGGUCCAGGGCCUUGAACAACAACUCUGUGCCAUCGUGGCCGUUGCUGUGUGAGGUCAAGAACAUGAAGAUCCUCAGCAGACAAACCAGCUGGACCAAUUCCACCCUGAAUAACUACCAUAGUUCCCACAGCAGUUGCCACAUGAGCAGCCCUUGGUGUGGGUGGUUCUCCAAAAGGAGUAAUCCUAGACCAUUUAUUUGUUAGCACAUCAUAACAGUGAACAUCGGCAGUGGCACCAGCUAGUCUAAUGCCCGCAUUCCCAGCUGAGGAAGGUGCCCCUGAGGCCGCAGAAUUGCCCUCAAGAGCCGUGGCACCACCGAACAAAAUCAACCUCGGCCCAAUGUACCCAGGCGUUCCUUCCUCGCCAACAGCCGCCACUGCAGUCAGGGUAUGCCCGCACCUGGGCCCUGGCCCAUCUUCCUUCUUCUCUAUAAUCGCAUUCACCACCGAGUAAGUAGGGGCAUGCCUCGGCCCCACCACGGGGCUUUGCUGUUGUGCCUGCAGCUGUGCAGGCGGCUGCACCGGUGAAGGCACCACGGAAGUCGAAGAUCCAGCCGGCUGUGGCUGAUCCCUUAACUGCUCCCUAUCCAUUGCCGUUGGCGACGAAGCGUUUUGCACCUCUGAAUCUUGAUCGGUCUCCGGCACCAUCGACGAGUCCACAUCCAUUGCUUCCAAACUGCAAUCCCUGCCCUAUAUUCAAGAUCGGAGCUAGAUUUCCAACGAAUUCGCAUCUCUAAACACCAUUUUCAACGAUUCACCCCAAAUUCACCAACAGCAGCGUACAAAAAAUUGAAACCCUAGCUAAGAUGCUCUAUUUUCAAAAUCCAAAAAAACAACAAAAAAAAUCUAUAAAUUUUCCGGGAAAAAUAAAAUCUGGAAAAGGAGAGAGAGAAAGUGUUGAUUAGGUUUUCGCGUUUUAUAUGGUUUCACUCUCUUUCUGUCGGUCUCUGACAAAGAAAAGAUAAUCUAAAGUCGAGCCAGUCGAGGAAAGAGAAAAUUAGAAACCGAACGGAGACAAAGAAUCUCGAGGCCACAACACAUCAAAGAAACAAACGAAAAAUACCAAUCUAUCUUUUAUUCUUCCAGAAAUUAUUUCUUUUUUGUUUCUCUCUCUUAUGAUAAUUAUGUGUUAAUUUCUGUUUGGGUUUUUU
rnacentral:misc_RNA from 1 species